GCACUAUUGGAAGAGCCUGUGUUGGAUUAGCUAGUUGGUGGGGUAAAGGCCUACCAAGGCGACGAUCCAUAGCUGGUCUGAGAGGAUGAUCAGCCACACCGGAACUGAGACACGGUCCGG
rnacentral:rRNA from 1 species